GGAUUAGGCAUGCAAGUCGAACGUGAAGCCGGUGCUUGCACCGGUGGAAAGUGGCGAACGGGUGAGUAACACGUGAGAAACCUGCCCCGGAGACUGGGACAACCAUUGGAAACGAUGGCUAAUACCGGAUGUCCUCAGAUGGUCGCAUGACCGACUGAGGAAAUGCUCUGGCGCUCUGGGAGGGUCUCGCGGCCUAUCAGUUAGUUGGUGGGGUAACGGCCUACCAAGACAUCGACGGGUAGCUGGUCUGAGAGGACGAUCAGCCACACUGGGACUGAGACACGGCCCAGACUCCUACGGGAGGCAGCAGUGGGGAAUAUUGCGCAAUGGGCGAAAGCCUGACGCAGCAACGCCGCGUGAGGGAUGACGGCUUUCGGGUUGUAAACCUCUUUCAGUGAUGACGAAAAUGACGGUAGUCACAGAAGAAGGUCCGGCCAACUACGUGCCAGCAGCCGCGGUAACACGUAGGGACCAAGCGUUGUCCGGAUUUAUUGGGCGUAAAGAGCUCGUAGGCUGUUGCGUAAGUCGGAUGUGAAAACUCAGGGCUCAACCCUGAGACGCCAUCCGAUACUGCGCUGACUAGAGUCCGGUAGGGGAGCAUGGAAUUCCUGGUGUAGCGGUGAAAUGCGCAGAUAUCAGGAGGAACACCAGUGGCGAAGGCGGUGCUCUGGGCCGGAACUGACGCUGAGGAGCGAAAGCAUGGGGAGCAAACAGGAUUAGAUACCCUGGUAGUCCAUGCCGUAAACGUUGGGCACUAGGUGUGGGGUCUUCUUAACGGAUUCCGUGCCGUAGCUAACGCAUUAAGUGCCCCGCCUGGGGAGUACGGCCGCAAGGCUAAAACUCAAAGGAAUUGA
rnacentral:rRNA from 1 species